rnacentral:rRNA from 1 species
GACGAACCGUGCGAACGUUGUUCGGAAUCACUGGGCUUAAAGGGCGCGUAGGCGGGUCAGCAAGUCCGGGGUGAAAUCUUUCGGCUCAACCGGAAAAGUGCCUCGGAUACUGCUGGGCUUGAGGGAGGUAGGGGUUUGUGGAACUUCUGGUGGAGCGGUGAAAUGCGUUGAUAUCAGAAGGAACGCCGGUGGCGAAAGCGACGAACUGGACCUCUUCUGACGCUGAGGCGCGAAAGCUAGGGGAGCAAACGGG